AUUGAACGCUGGCGGCAGGCCUAACACAUGCAAGUCGAGCGGAUGAAGGGAGCUUGCUCCUGGAUUCAGCGGCGGACGGGUGAGUAAUGCCUAGGAAUCUGCCUGGUAGUGGGGGAUAACGUCCGGAAACGGGCGCUAAUACCGCAUACGUCCUGAGGGAGAAAGUGGGGGAUCUUCGGACCUCAGGCUAUCAGAUGACCCUAGGUCGGAUUAGCUAGUUGGUGGGGUAAAGGCCUACCAAGGCGACGAUCCGUAACUGGUCUGAGAGGAUGAUCAGUCACACUGGAACUGAGACACGGUCCAGACUCCUACGGGAGGCAGCAGUGGGGAAUAUUGGACAAUGGACGAAAGCCUGAUCCAGCCAUGCCGCGUGUGUGAAGAAGGUCCUCGGAUUGUAAAGCACUUUAAGUUGGGAGGAAGGGCAGUAAGUUAAUACCUUGCUGUUUUGACGUUACCAACAGAAUAAGCACCGGCUAACUUCGUG
rnacentral:rRNA from 1 species